UUGAUGAGGGAGCGGGUCAAACGAAUCAAGAAGGAAAGGAAAAGCGUAGUUCGGAUGCGAGGUACUUUUUGGAUGCCGGAAGACGAUCAAGCUCAAUGAAUAACUGAACACGAUAAAGACACAUGCUUCCGCACAUUGCCUCGUUGUAAAUUUUUAACGACGAACCCGAUCACGUUAUGUAGAAUAACUUAUGAUUUGUAAAAGUUUUAAUAAACCCGUAUUUCCGAUGUAUAUAUAAUCUUAAUUACAUGAUUGUUUUCGUAAAAUAUACGUUAAACCAUGGAUUAUAAGAACGGGUGUUACAAGUUGGUAUCAGAGCCUUGGUUUAAGAGAUUCG
rnacentral:lncRNA from 1 species